UACGAAGGGUGCAAGCGUUAAUCGGAAUUACUGGGCGUAAAGGGUGCGUAGGCGGUUCGUUAAGUCUGUCGUGAAAUCCCCGGGCUUAACCUGGGAAUGGCGAUGGAUACUGGCGAGCUAGAGUGUGUCAGAGGAUGGUGGAAUUCCCGGUGUAGCGGUGAAAUGCGUAGAGAUCGGGAGGAACAUCAGUGGCGAAGGCGGCCAUCUGGGACAACACUGACGCUGAAGCACGAAAGCGUGGGGAGCAAACAGG
rnacentral:rRNA from 1 species